GGGCUCGGCGCAGCCGGCGCACUCCAGCCAGGAGCUUCUCCCAGUGUGGUGGCUAGGUUCCAAGAGGGACUGUCCAAAGAAUGAGAAGUCCAGAAGACCAAGCAGGAGCUCCUUGGCCUUUUCUGGCCUAGCAUUGCAUGGUAUGCUUUCUGUUGUAGUGUAUUAGUCAAAGGAGUCGAAAGCCCACUCAGAUUCAAGGGGAGAAGUGUCAGUGAAUUUGAUCUAGUUUUAAAAACAGCAUUGCAUAUCAUAAAUGGUCCAGAUAAUGACAUUGAUGGUAGAGCAAAGAACAGGGAAGUACAUUCUCAAUUUGUAAAGAACAGGGAAAUACAUUAUCAGUUUACUUCAUUAGGGAUAGGGCAUAUAAAAAAGUCCAGCUCCAUUCUUUUGUAUGUAGCUGUCCAGUUUUUCCAACACCAUUUAUUGAAGAGACUGUCUUUUCCUUUAUUGAAUACUCUUGCCUCUUAAUUGACUGUAUGAGUAUAGGCUUAUUUUGAGGCUCUCUAUUCUGUUCCAUUGUUCUAUGUGUCUGUUUUUGAGCCAGUGCCAAUUUUGAUUACCAUAGGUUUGUAGUAGAGUUUGAUAUCAGAGUGUGAUACCUCCAGGUUUGUUCUUCUCCUUUAAAAUUGUUUUGGCUAUUUGGGGUCAUUUGUAGUUCCAUACAAAUUUCAGGAUUAUUUGUUCUAGUUCUGUGAAAAAUGCCAUUGGUAUUUUGAUAGGGAUUGCAUUGAAUCUGUAGAUUGCUUUGGGUAGUAUAGAUAACUUAAUGCUAUUGAGUCUUCCAGUCCAUAAGCAUGGUGUAUCUUUCCCUUUAUUUGUUUAUCUUCAGUUUCUUUCCUCAGUGUCUGGAUUUUCCAAGUAUAGGUCUUUCAUCUCAUUGGUUAAAUUUAUUCCAGUUGUACGUGGGAUUGUUUUCUUCAUUUCUCGUUCUGAUAGUUUGUUAGAAUACAGAAGUGCAGCAGACUUAUAUAUAUUACUUUUCUUUUCUUUCUUUCUUCUUUUUGUCUUUUUGCCUUUUCUAGGGCCGCUUCCCACGGCAUAUGGAGGUUCCCAGGCUAGGGGUCUAAUCAGAGACACAGCUGCCGGCCUACACCAGAGCCACAGCAGCGCGGGAUCCAAGCCGCGGCUGCAACCUACACCACAGCUCAUGGCAACACCAGAUCCUUAACCCACUGAGCAAGGCUAGGGAUUGAACCCGCAACCUCAUAGUUCCUAGUUGGAUUCGUUAACCACUGAGCACGACAGGAACGCCUCUAUAUUACUUUUCUUACACUGCAUUCAAAAACAAAGUUAAAAUGAAUUUAAAGACUUGAAUGAAAGGCCUGAAACCAUAAACACACAGGCAGUAAUCUCUUUGACAUCAGUCUUAGUAAUAUUUUUUUGGAUAUGUUUCUUCCGGCAAAGGGGCCCCCAAAGCAGAAAUAAACAAAUGGGACUACAUCAAACUAAGCCCUUGCACAGUGAAGGAAACAGCCAACAAACGAAAACAACAACCACUGAAUGUGAGAAGACAUUUGCAAAUGAUAUAUUUGAAGAGGGGUUAAUAUCCAAAGAACUCCUGCUACUCAGUAUCAAAAACAGCCUGAUUCAAAAAUGGGCCGAGGACCCGAAUAGACAUUUUCCCAAAGAAUACAUACAAACAGGCACAGGAAAAGAUGUUCAAUAUCACUAAUCAUCAGGGAAAGGCAAAUCAGAACCCCAAUGACAUAUCGCCUUAUGCCUGUUAGAAUGGCUUUUAUUGAAAAGACAAGAAACAACAAAUAUUGACAAGGAUGUGGAGGAAAGGAAACCCUUGUGCAUUGUCAAUGGGAAUGUAAAUUGGUGCAACCACAAUGGAAAAAUAAAAAGCUUCCUCAAAAAGCUAAAACUAGAACUACUGUAUAAUCCAGCAAUUCAAUUUCUGGGUAUUUAUCUGAAGAAAAUGAAAACACUAAUUCAAAAUUAUACACACACACACACACACACACACACACACACACACACACAUAUACACACAUACAUAUAUACCUCUGUUCAUUGCAGCUCUGAUUACAGUAGCCAAGAUAUGCAGAUAACUUAAGUGUUCAUUGAUAGAUGAAUGGAUAAAGAAGAUACAGUGUAUACACACAGUAGAAUACUACUUGGCCAUAAAAAAAUGAAAUCUUGCCAUUUGCAGCAAUAUAGAUGGACCUACAGGGUACUAUGCUAAGUGAAAUGAGUCAGAAAGAGAAAAACAAAUACUGUGUGAUUUUUCGUGUAUGUGGAAUCUAAAAAACAAGACGAAUGGGCAAACAAAAACAAAACAAACAAACCCACAGAUGCAGAGAACAAACUGGUGGUUGCCAGCGGGGAGGCAGGUAGGAGGAUGGACGAAAAAGGUGAAUUGGAUUAAAAGGUGUAAACUUCUAGCUGUAUAAGAAAUAAUAUUUGGAAAAAUAACAUACAUCAUAAAGAAUAUAGUAAACAUAACAUAAGGAACAUAGCAAUACUGUAAUAACUUAGUAUGCUAACAAUAGUAACUAGACUUUUGUAAUUGAUCAUUUCAUUAAGGUAUAAAAAUAUUGAAUCACUAUGUUGUAUACCUGAAACUAGUAUAAUAUUGUAUGCUAAUUAUAAUCCCAUAGAAAAGGUCACUGGAGGAGUUCCCAUUGUGGCUCAGCGGUUAACGAACCUGACUAGCAUCCCUGGCCUUGCUCAUCGGGUUAAGGAUCCAGCAUUGCCCUGAGCUGUGGUGUAGGUCGCAGACACAGCUCGGAUCCUGCGUUGCUGCAGCUGUGGUGUAGGCGGGAGGUUACAGCUCCGAUUGGACCCCUGGGAACCUCCAUAUGCCUCGGUGUGGCCCUAAAAAAAAGAAAAAGAAAAAGCUACUGGACAUUUUUCAAACAGUAAUUAAAUCAUGGCUUAUAUUCAUGAUACUUUUUGAAUGUAGUUUAUAAUUUUUAUAAGUUUAUUCUUAUCCUUUUAGAGAUCAGGUAUAUAACUACUAGUAUUUCAGUUUUGGAAAUUCUUCAUUAAUUGUGUCCCCCAAGCCUUAGAAGUAAGGGUAAAUAAGUCACUCUGAUCAAAUUUGCCUUCCUGUUAUUUAUUUAUGUAUUUAUUAAUUAUGCCUGCAGGUGAGGGAUAUGGAAGUUCCCAGGCCAGGGGUCGAAUUGAAGCUACAGCUGCCAGCCUACGCCACAGCCACAGCCACAGCCAUGCAGGAUCCAAGCCACGUUUGCGACCUAUACCACAGGUCACAACAAUGCUGGAUCCUUAACCCUCUGAGCAAGGCCAUGGAUUGAACCCGUGUCCUCAUGGAUACUAGUCGGGUUCUUUUCCACUGAGCCACAAUGGGGACUCUGCCUUCCUGUUUUAGUAUGCUCUGUAGUUUCAGUUGUGAUGCUUACCUUUGGUGAGCUUUCUAAUGAUUCUUUUAUUAAAAAAAGGCUGAAAUUGGGGUUUGCUCACUUUACUUGACUGCCCGCUAUGCUUUGGUACUUUCUUAAUUUGUACAGAAUUUUCCUAUUCCUUUGCUGUAGACUUGAAAAACUGACCUCUGCUUUCAUGAAAGUUGAGCAGAGGAAAGAAAGGAAACAGAAGAAAAGGAGAUAUAACAAGGACAUAUGUUGCAUAGACUGUGGUUUUAUUGUCGGCUCUGGAAACCACAUGUUCCUAUUUGUCUGGAAAGAAAUGGUAUCACAUUACAUGAUCAUGAAACUGCUGACUCAAGGAAUCUUUGGGAUCGUUGGAAGUGCUUUCAUGAUUAGCUGGGUAGUGUGGAAAUAAUAUCCUUGAGGAAUGAGAGCCCAUCCACCUUCUUACUUUUAUUUAUUGAUUCAUUUGUCUUUUUAGGGCCUCACCUGCAGCAAAUGGAAGUUCUCAGGCUAGGGGUUGAAUCGGUGCUGCAGCUGACAGCCUGUACCACAGCCAAGGAACACCAGAUCUGAGCUAUAUCUGUGACCGAUACCACAGCUCACAGCAACACCGGAUCCUUAACCCACUGAGCGGGGCUGGGAAUUGAACCUGAGUCCUCAUGGAUACUAGUUGGGUUUGUUACUGCUGAGCCACAGCAGGAACUUGGUGGUCUUGGGUAUUUCUUCCCCACCCGUUUCCUACUUUCAUCUCUUUUCUAUUCUUCUUCUUACCAGUUCCACAGUCUUGGAUGACAGGGACAUGGAGAACCAUGUUAUUCCCUUAGACAUACUUCCAAAAAUUUUUAUUACAUAAAAUUCCAAACACAAACAAAAAUAAGAAAGUAUGAUCAACUCCAGUGGGCCUCAUUCAGUUUUGACAGUUAUUAACUCAUGAAUGAUUUUAUUUUGUCAGUACCUCUGCACCCCCCUUUCCAGAUUAUGAAGCAAAUCACAGACAUUAUUUUAUCUGUAAAUUUUUCACUAUGCAUCUCUAAAAGGUAACAACUCUUAAAAAUACAGUCAUCAGGGAGUUCCCUUCAUGGCUCAGUGGAAACAAAUCUGACUAGCAUCCAUGAGGACGCUGGUUCGAUGCCUGGCCUCACUCAUUGGGUUAAGGAUCUGGUGUUGCCGUGAGCUAUGGUGUAGGUUGCAGACUCGGCUCACAUCCUGCGUGGCUGUGGCUGUGGCUGUGGCUGACAGCUGUAGCUCUGAUUCCACUGCUAGCCUGGGAACCUCCAUAUGCCUAAAAGGCACAACCCUACAAGGCAAAAAAAAAAAAAAAAAA
rnacentral:lncRNA from 1 species